CACGUGGUCGCUGUGCCCCGCGCUCCUCAUCAGGGUCUUCCAGCGCCUCCAGGCACAGCUGGGAGGCGGGGGGUGCAGAGAGCAGAGGAAAGGUCGUCCUCUCCUCACCUGGGAACCUCCUGUCCACCCAGCCUCCCGCACAGCCGCCACCUUUAGGGGGUGGGACAGCCCUCAGGGACCCUGGCAACGUUCCUCGAACGAGGUGCCAGAAGCCAAGACAGCUGGGGCACCAGGGUGGGGGCGAGGCUCUGCAGACUCAGGUGCGUGGUGUCAGCUUCUGCACCGCUGUCACGGAGGGACAGGAUCCCUGCAUCCGCCCAGAAAGCCAGAUGUACAGAAAGUCUUUCUAAGAAGCCCGGCCAAGGACCCUCCUGGCGGUCCAGUGGUUAAGACUCCGAGCUCCAAGGGCAGGGGACCCAGGUUCCAUCCCCGGUUGGGGAACUAAGAUUCCGCGUACCACACAACGUGGCCAAAAAUAAGUAAGAAAAAAAUCAUCAAUAAAAGCCUUGGCAAGAGCUGUUGGAGGGAGUACGGGGAGCCCGGGCCCGGCAGACUUGAAAAACGGCAGACGAGGUCCCCAAGCGACAGCCGGAAAGGGAGUACCUGACGGGGUCCAUCCCCUGGCUCACAGGGGGCUGGGCGGCCCCCACCCCCAGGAGGGAGGAGAUGCGGAACAGCAGGGCCAGGAACAGGUACGGGAAGAAGGCCUGCACCUCCACUCUCCGGCUGGGCUCCAGCAGCAGCUCGUGGAGGGCCCUGGUGGCCUGUGGGGUGGGGGGCGCGAGCCCAGGAAGUGCAGGGCCUUCUGGGCUGCUCUCCGUUGAAAGCCCUCUGGGGGCUCUGCUGGUGGCUUGCUUCUCUUGCACUGGGGUGCUGGUCUCACUCUGUCUUGCCCAGGAGGAUGAGGAGCCGGUUCUCAGGCAUGGCAGACUCCCCGGGGCCCCACCGGAGAGGAGGCCGCAAGGGUGUUCAGCCUCCUCUGUCCACAGCAGCCACUUGAGAGCUCCGGACAGCCUGGGACGGACCCCGGGGCACCCCGCCCUCCUCGAGCCCGCGUACGAUCAACGGAGAGAUCUGUGCUCUGCAGCCGGGCUCGUGGGGCCGGGACCUCUGCUGGGGGGUCAGCCUCUGCAGGAGGUGCUCCAUGAUCACUUCGUAGCCUUUGGGGAAGGACGCCAGGAUCUCCCAGGGCUUGUGAGCCCCCCUGCAGGGCGAAAGCCCACCGUCAAGGUCAGCCUCCCGGGAGGGGCUCUGCCGCUCUGCUCAGGGCCCAGCUCCCUCUUCCUACCCUUCGCUCUGCCUUCUCCCCUCCCCUUUCCUCCGUCAACUCCUUCCAUCUUUCCAUCGCCUCCGCACCUCCUGUCCUCCGCCACCUCACGUGCAGGUGGCUCUCAAAGUGCUCACACAGCCUGCGAACCUGCCAGAAGGAAGCAGCUGAGGCCCACGGGUCAGAAGCCACCCCCGUGGCCGCGUCCCGGGUGCGGUCGGGAAGUGAAGGGGCUGGGGGGCCCUCCCCCCCCGCCCCGGCCC
rnacentral:lncRNA from 1 species